UUGCAGUUUUGUGACCAUGGCGCCCUGAACGCGAGCCAAAUCCAGGGGUGCGGUGGUCCUCACUACCCCGUCAGCUGAAAGUGUAGAGAGGGUGUAAGAAGAAACAAACCUCUGUUCUGCCCCAGGUGACACUGGACAGGUGAAGAGAGAUGAAGAACGUGACUGAAGAAAGAGCCAAGAGAAGGAGCAAGGGUCAGGGGUUCCUUAGCCUCUGCCCUCCACAUUAGCUUAUCUACAGGUCAGAACUUCACUGCCAGACUGGGGUCCCCCACACACACAUACACACACAUCUGACUGCUCCUUACCAGGGAUAAGUAAAGCAAAAAGAAACUCCAGGAGCCUGAGCAGUGCCAUGGUAGGCUAAAGAAAUGGUGGAGGAAGCUGUUUCUCAGGCUAACUCUGUUGCCUGGCUAGUUGCUUAAACAUAGCCAUCAGGUGGCUUCCGAGACUCCAGCUCUGGCUCCACCUACCCCAUGACAGAGCAGUUAGAUCCCCGGCAGGCUCCGGGAGCUGCUGGAAAAUCCCAUCUUCCGCUGUUUCCAGUGAAUUCUUCCAUUCAUUACUGCAACCCUAAGGGGAUACAAGCUACAGAUGGUAAAACUGGCCACAUUGUGCUUGCAGACAGAGCAAACCCAGUGCCCAGGAAAAUUAGCCCCAAGACCUGCUUCCCCACAGAGUCUGAAUUCCAGCUGCCUCCUCUUACCAUUAGAACCGUAUCUGCCUAUAAAAUCUAAGCCCAGCCAACAAGAAAAUCAAAAGUUAGCCGGGCGGUGGUGGCUCAUGCCUUUAAUCCCAGCACUUGGGAGGCAGAGGCAGGUGGAUUUCUGAGUUCGAGGCCAGCCUGGUCUACAGAGUGAGUUCCAGGACAGCCAGGGCUACACAGAGAAUCCUGCCUCAAGAAACAAACAAAAAAUAAAAUAAAAUAAAAAAAUCAAAAGUUUUGUCUACAUUCAACAAACAAAAGAACCCUUGGUAGAAGAAAUAAAACGAAGGAUUACUUGUGUGGAUAUCAACUGCAGGGUACCAAAGACUCUUCUGAGAGGAAAUGAAGACGUGCUAUGUGUUGGUCUGGAACACAGCUACACCAGCCUAAGAUUAGUCUGCAGACUGAGAUUUACUGAGCCAUUGUCUUUAAGAUUUGUCAGUGUAUUAUAUUUCCAUUUAAAACGCCUUUUUGAGACAAGGUUUCUUUAUGU
ensembl:antisense 4921523L03Rik RIKEN cDNA 4921523L03 gene